GACGAACGCUGGCGGCGUGCUUAACACAUGCAAGUCGAACGGAAAGGCCCUGCUUUUGUGGGGUGCUCGAGUGGCGAACGGGUGAGUAACACGUGAGUAACCUGCCCUUGACUUUGGGAUAACUUCAGGAAACUGGGGCUAAUACCGGAUAGGAGCUCCUGCUGCAUGGUGGGGGUUGGAAAGUUUCGGCGGUUGGGGAUGGACUCGCGGCUUAUCAGCUUGUUGGUGGGGUAGUGGCUUACCAAGGCUUUGACGGGUAGCCGGCCUGGGAGGGUGACCGGCCACAUUGGGACCGAGAUACCGCCCAGACUCCUACGGGAGGCAGCAGUGGGGAAUAUUGCACAAUGGGCGGAAGCCUGAUGCAGCAACGCCGCGUGCGGGAUGACGGCCUUCGGGUUGUAAACCGCUUUCGCCUGUGACGAAGCGUGAGUGACGGUAAUGGGUAAAGAAGCACCGGCUAACUACGUG
rnacentral:rRNA from 1 species